CCUACGGGAGGCAGCAGUCGAGAAUCAUUCACAAUGGGGGAAACCCUGAUGGUGCGACGCCGCGUGGGGGAAUGAAGGUCUUCGGAUUGUAAACCCCUGUCAUGUGGGAGCAAAUUAAAAAGAUAGUACCACAAGAGGAAGAGACGGCUAACUCUGUGCCAGCAGCCGCGGUAAUACAGAGGUCUCAAGCGUUGUUCGGAACCACUGGGCGUAAAGCGUGCGGAGGCUGUUUCGUAAGUCGUGUGUGAAAGGCGCGGGCUCAACCCGCGGACGGCACAUGAUACUGCGAGACUAGAGUAGUGGAGGGGGAACCGGAAUUCUCGGUGUAGCAGUGAAAUGCGUAGAUAUCGAGAGGAACACUCGUGGCGAAGGCGGGUUCCUGGACAUUAACUGACGCUGAGGCACGAAGGCCAGGGGAGCGAAAGGGAUUAGAUACCCCAGUAGUC
rnacentral:rRNA from 1 species